rnacentral:snRNA from 1 species
AUACUUACCUGACUGGGGAGACACCAUGAUCAGGAAGGUAGUUUUCCCAGGGCAAGGCUCAUCCAUUGCACUGCGGAUGUGCUGACUCCUGUGAUUUCCCCAAAUGCGGGAAACUCGACUGCAUAAUUUGUGGUAGUGGGGGACUGUGUUCGCGCUCUCCCCUG